rnacentral:rRNA from 1 species
UACGGGGGGGGCAAGCGUUGUUCGGAAUUACUGGGCGUAAAGGGCUCGUAGGUGGCCAACUAAGUCAUACGUGAAAUCCCUCAGCUUAACUGGGGAACUGCGUCUGAUACUGGAUGGCUUGAGUUUGGGAGAGGGAUGCGGAAUUCCAGGUGUAGCGGUGAAAUGCGUAGAUAUCUGGAGGAACACCAAUGGCGAAGGCAGCUCGCUGGAACGGUACUGACGCUGAGGCGCGAAAGCGUGGGGAGCAAACAGG